CUUAGUUAAGAUGAGGUUAUACUGGAGCAGGGUGGGCACCUAAUCCAAUAUGACUGGUGUCCUUCUAAGAAGACACAGACACACAAGGAGAAGGCCCUGUGACGAGAGAGGCAGAGAUUGGGGUGACGCAGCUACAAGCCAAGGAUGCAAGUGGGCUAGGAAGAGGCAAGGAAGGGGUCUCCCCUACAGCUUUCAGAGGGAACAUGGCCCUGCUGACACCUGGAUUUUGGACUUCUAGCCUCCAGACCUGAGGCAGUGUUCACACACUUGAUGUGCCACAUUCCUUGCCGACAUCAGAAGCAGCUGGGCCCGAUAAAGACCUCUGGGAUUCUGAUAUUUGGGGAUCACGUCCACGGAAGAGCAGGAACUGAGACUUGAUUGCUCUGUCGACUCCAGAAACGGGACUAGAAGUGCCGCAAUCUCAUCAGAAAAUGCAGCUUCCGGUGGUAUUUUUCACCAGGAACAGAAGCAGAAGUGUGCAGAAUCACCCGAGAAAGCCCCAGCUCUCCUGAGAGCCGUUCUCGAAUUUUGCUGGCACAGAGCACUGGGAGGUGAAUUGCAAUGUCAGCGCCUGGAAAUUGGGACUCAGACUCCUUAAACUCUCUUCUCACAAGGGUGUCUCUGCCUCCAUCGUUUCUGCACGUGCUAAAGGCAGAAGAAGAGGCAGAGGCUGCUGCGUCUCCUGGCAGGCGGGCCAGUUGGAACAAAGACACCAGCGGGGCCACCUCGGAAAGCAAUCUGGAGAAGUCCCAGCAAACAGCAUUUAGGGGAAGGGGAAAAACGCCUGUGGACCUGAUAAUGCAUCACGUCCCAUUGUUAAGGAGGCAAAAAGCAGAAAUUUACCUUGAAGGCUCAUGGGAGUUUGAUUUCCCUGGAAAGACAUGACCCACAUUUCUCACGGAUUGUGGGUCAAUAUUUGACCAUCUCCUCUUAUUUUCUCAUCUUCGUGUUUAAGAUUUAAAAUACAAGUACUAUGUAAUCUCUUUAAAAGAUUCAAACAGUAUAAAAUUAAGGUAGAGUCAAAGUUCCUCAUUCCUUUUGCUCACCCCCACUGGCUCAUUCACUAGAGAUAGCUAACAAUUACUUUUAACACUGUCAAACAUAUCCUUCCAGACGUGUUCGGUAAGUAUGCAAAUAUAUACAUUUGUGUCCAUAUAUUGUCAAAUAUAUGUAUGUGUCUAUAUAUACACACACAGACGUUCUCUGUUUUAAAUAUUCUACAGGAAUCAUAUUUAUAGACAAUAUUAUACAACUUGGUUUUUUUUUCCACUUAAAAUAUCUAUCAUGGGUAAUUAUCUGCGUCUAUGUGCAUUUUUAAAAACUUAGCUAUAAAGUUUGAGAAAAGUGUAAUUAUGCUCCCCAGGGAGGGGGGCAUUCAGACCAAAGGGCUUGUGGGGAAGGGCGAGGCUCCCCCCACCCCCACAGACAAUCACUGUUAGCAGUUUUUAGUGUAUCAUUCCAGAAAUAGUCUACGCGCAGACCAGCAUAUAUGGAUAUCAAAUAUUCACACCUGUCUUUGUCUUUACCAAGUAUCUUUCACCUGGCGUGUUUCACUCAGGUCUCUUGGAGAGCACUUCACAUUAGAAAAAAUUGACCUUUUAAAUGAUGGUGUCGUACUUCUUUGAAUGGCGCUCCUUAAUGUAUUUCACUCGUCCUUUUAGAUGGACUUUGGGUGGAUUUCAGUUUUUGCUUCUACAAACAGUGCUGCAAUAAAUAGUCGAGUGCACACCCUGUGAGUCUUUGCUCAAACACACUCACCCCUUCCUGAAAGCAACACCUAUACCCCACACCUCUCCUCAAAUUGCGUUAAUCCGAAGAACUGAUUGAAUCAACUUUUUUUUUUUUUAAAAAGAGGGUUUAAAACUGAGUAUUAAUAAUCCAUUAAGAAUCUGUUAUGAAUACGUGCCCCUUCCUGCAGUUUUGAAUCUUUCCUCCAGCUUGAAAGUGAGGCUCAUGAAAAAAAAAGAAAGUCAUUUUUCCCCCCCACGCCCACCCCCGCCCAGGAGUCAGCCAUGCCAAAAUCAUUGCAUUAGCAUCCUGUGCCUGCUUAUUACAAAUGCAGGCUGCACGUUGGGUAAUUCCUUCCCAUCUACUUCUUUCAUCCUGGGCUCAGAGAAAGAUCGCAACUCACUCUUACAACUUAGGUACUGCUCCCUGCUCUUUUCUGUAUGCAAGAGUUGAAGCCAUUGGGGAUUGAGAACAAAGUGUGUCCGUGGAAAGAAGUGGGUGGGAUUUGGUGUAUGCAGGAGGAUGGGGGGGCACCCCCUCCCGGGGGAGGAGUCUGAUUUCAUUAUACAGUUGGAAACCUGAUGAAAUCAUGUACACAACUGAAUCUUUUUGCUCAGCUAGUGAGGUCUUUCUGUUCUUUGUCUUGCUGUGUGUGCAGCAAAUUUCUGUUACGCCCGGGAAGAAGGAAAUUUGAGUUAAAGAGCAGGGCAGCUCCAUAUGCCUUGUAACAAGCAAGCUAAUUGAAAAAUUUAAUUCAGGAAGAGAUGCAACGAGGCCAAAAUGAAAGAGGAACUAGGCCUGUCGAUGUUCAGAGCAGGAAAACCGAAGAAGUUAUCUCCAAGUUAAAAAUUAUGCGAGGCUGGAAAAUACAUCACCUGCUGUAUUUGUUAUAGAAAUUCACAGUCUUGUUUGCUGUUUAUCUUGAGGCUCGGGGAGCUCUCCUGCUGCUUAGGAAAAAAGAGGCGAGGUCUGGGAAGAAAUGCUAGUAAUAAGAAAGGGAGGGAUUAGAAACCCCAGAGAGAAUGGGAGGUGUAAAUAAUAUGUGGGCAUUUGACAAUCAGCACAAAGAAAUGGGAGACAAAGGCAAAUGGCUGAUGCCAGAAAUCCUAAACACUUAAGUGGGAAACUUGGACAAGAGAAAAAUGUCCCAAAGGAAAAGGAAAACAAAAUCCCAGGAGAUCUUUUUCCUCUGUGAUGUUGUCUAAUGGAGUAAAUAAAGAUUGGUUUUGCCACGUUGCUCCUGCGAGCAAUGCUAUAUGCAAAGGCACUGGCUUCCUGAUGGCCUUUGAAGCUCUCUCCAGGCCAGCCUGAGCCUUAGGACCAGAUGGAGGAAUCUUGGGGAACAGUUUUCUCCUCCAGAAAGGAGUUGAGAAUGGGCCAGAAGGAGCCCUUGGCAGGGACAGAGUGAUCCCUCUCUCCAAAGAGUCCAAUCUUUUGGGGUCCUCUGCUCUUCUCUUUUUUUCUCCCAGAACCCUACCUUGAAUGGAAUUGCUUAGGAAAGGAGAAAAGGCAUUUUUUAGCUAAAAGCUAAAGUAGGACCAAGUUAAACUUGCUGGACAAUGGAAAUUUCUUCCUGAGGCUGUCUGCUGAGGUCGAGCGUGACACUUCCUAAUUGCAUGACUUGGGCAGACUGCUUUCUCUACCGUAAGAAGAGGAUUAUAACAACAACAAUAAUAAUAGGUAACAUUUAUAGAACCCUUACAUGGAAUAAUUUCUACCCUGAUCCAUUUUAUCCUCUGAACCUAAUGAGUUAGGAUAGUUACGAUGUCCAUUCUACAGAUGAAUGGAGACUCAGCCAGAUCGCCAGCUAGAAAAUGGUACAGGCAAAAUAUAUUUCUAGGUCAGGGGUUGGCAAUUACAGUCCAAUGGCCAAGUCCGGCUCAACGCCUGUUUUUGUAAAUAAAGUUUUAUUGGAACACAGCCACGAUCAUUUGGUUAUAAUUGCCUCUGACUGCUUUGGAGCUAUGAUGAUAGAGACACUAUGGUCUGCACAGCCCAAAAUAUUUACUCUCCAUUUCUUUACAGAAAAAGUUGGCAGAUGCUUGCACUAAAUCCCCCAGGCCCAAGCUCUUAACCCCAUCUGUGUUCUUCUCCUCCAAAAAUGUCUCAUUUUUUUCUUUAAAUGUGAUGCUGAACAGGAAAAACUAAUCUAACAUGUCAGAAAUAAUAAUAGUGAUUGGAGAAUUUAAUUUGUUAGAGGCCCAAGAAUAUUAAAAACAAGCAAAAACAAACUUUUCUUUCUUUUCCUUUUUUUGUCUCAAAAUUAGAAACUGUUUACAUCCUAAAUUUAAGACAAACAAAAAAACCUUGCAUUGCCUUACCAGCUUUAUUGAAACUGCAUAUAAACGCUUAUCUAAAAACCAAAAUUUCUAGAGUCAUUUCCAAAAUAAUGAAGGAAUGGAAUACAGUUUUCCAGGUGACAUAACAUUUUUUUUCCGUAUGUUAUUUUCAAAACUGCAAGUAGAAUAAGUUGUUAAAGUAAGAAGCUCCCAGUUUUGAAUCUGAUGUUCACCCUAUAAUAGUAAUGUACAAACUCUCGGCGUUUGGAGCUUUGUUUAUAAAUGUAAAAUUUCUGUAACCAAAGGGGAAUGAAAACUAAGGACAGUUGGGGUUGCUAACUCAACAGUUAUUUUCUCUUCUUUCCUACAAAUGGAAGUUGGAGAUCUUGGAAACUGAUCCGUGUUGCCACGUGAACUGUUUCUGGUAUUGUAACACUGGUUUAGUUUGUCAUAGGUCUCCCGGAUUGAUGAGUGUAGCUACAUAUCCAGGUUUUAAAAAACGUUAGUGAACAAAAUUAAUAAUAGUAUCUUCUGUAUCUCGUAUCUGCCGGGCGCUGUGGGCUGGGAGUUCUGAAUACAUAGUGCUGAGGGCCGAUAACUCGACAAGCAGGGGGUUACUAUUUGUAUUUCUAGAUGAGAACAAUGAGAUCCAGGUGCAUAAGGUGUCCAGUUAAUACAUGACUGAUUGACCUCGAAAUCCUGAGCCCCGAUUCCAUACUCUUUCCCCUCUAAGAGGAGGUCUGUCACUGAUUGUUCUUCCUUUCAUUGACCCAAUUCUUACCUACUUUGUUGUCUACCAUGUCUCAGGCACUGCACUCAGCUCUGGGGAUUCAACAGCGAACAAAACAGAUAACUAAGUCAACAAGUUCAUGACCAGGAUAUUUUUGGAGGAUGAGGAGUGCCAAGAGGGAAAUUAAACAGGAUAGAUGGGAUGGCAAGUGUCUAAGUCCGGCGUAGCAAUAUAGGAUGGGGAGGCCAAGGAAAAGACUUGAAUGAGGAAUAAAAGCCACAAGAGAAAGAUCUAGAUAAUAGAAGAAAGUUCCAGACAGAGGAAACAGCAAAGCACAUUCCUUGAGAUGGAAAGAUCUUGGUAUGUUGAGAAGUUAUGUUGAUACUUUCUGGCUCUCGCCAAUUCAGCAGCCAUUAAGACUUGUCUAAGCUUGAAGGUCCUAGGUGCUGUCUUCUAAGGGCUGAGCGUUUACCCUCAGUUCUAAGACAUUUGGCUCCGAUUUCCUAACACUGCUAUCUCCUUCUCCUUAUCAGAGGGGAGCAAGCUGUUCCUCAUUUAUUUGUGACUGGAAACAAGAAGUUACCAAUGACUGAGUACACGCCUUGCACUGUACUAACUGCUUAAUUGCAUUAUCUCAUUGAAUCUGCAAAACCACCCCACUGAAUUACGGUAGAACACUCUUAAUCCAGGUCGAUGCUGUGCUGAGAGUUUUAAGGAAAUUAAUUUCUAGAAUUUACAUGUUUAUACUUACAUUUACUUAUUCCUAAAACUGCCUUGGAAUGCUCCUGUAGGCCUAAACUCAACUGGAACAACCCUUUUCUGCCAUUACAGAGAAGUCUGUGGAGGGUAAGUACAGCAGUAUCUUUAUGGAGCGUUGAAGAGGUAGGCGGUGUGAUAACCUUCAAGGUAACAAACAAAGAGAUUAAUCAGCAUGUUGGUUUGGGGGAAUCCUCCUUUAAUGGUUAAUCAAAGCACCUAGAUGUGGGCAUCCUGUCUUACUGUAUCUUACAUGCAUUUUUUUCUAGGGAGCUUUCAGAACAACCACAGAAGUAUAAUGAUAUUGUUAAUUCUUAUAAAUGUAAUGGGAAUAUUUUCUAGAACCAUCCAGUAUUUCAGGAUACAUAAAAAUGUCCUAGGAUAAAAAUUGUAUACGGUUUCUUUCAGAUUGUGUUGGUGCUGUUCAAUACAUUAGUUACAACUUAUUAAACUUAUUUAAAAAAACAUUUUAUCAAAUCGUAUGAAAUAUGGAUUCCAAUUACAGUCACCAUAGUAUUUUUUUCUUACAAAAUGCUUACUAUUUUCUAUUUCUUAUUAAGAAAAAAUGGACUUAUUUGAAUUCUGGUAAAAAUUUAAGAUGUCAACUUAUAUAAGGGACUGUGUCUUUUUUUUCUCAAAAUUAUGUGAGAAAAAAAUGAGAUCAUUAGUUUAACAGAUCUUGGUAGUUGUCUGCCUAGUAGCAAUUGCUAAUUAUUUUCUUUGCUGAUAAAACUCAACUUACACGCACACCUACACAUACAUAUUUAAUUUUAAUUUUUUCCAACUCCUUUGUGCUUCAGGGAAAGCUGGGACCUCAACAGUCCCAGGGGUGGGAGUUUUGAUUAGUCAAUAUCGGUGCAUCUUAACCCCGGCCACAGAUCAGAUCAUCUUCCGAGCUUUUACAAAUUGUCAAUGCUUGAAAGAAAAAAAGAAAAAAAAGACUGAGGGACCAGCCCUGUGGCCGAGCUGUUGAGCUCGAGCGCUCCACUGAGGCGGCGUCCCACAUGCCACAACUGGAAGGACCUACGACUAAAAUAUACAGUUAUGUACUGAGGGCCUUUGGGGAGAAAAAGCAGAAAGAAAAAAAAAGAUUGGCAACAGUUGUUAGCUCAGGUGCCAAUCUUUAAAAAAAAAAAAAUUGUCAAUGCCUGGGUCCCACCCCCAGCUAUUGUGAUUAAAUGGGUCUAAGCAGGGAAGAUAAUUUUAUUUCUGUUGCUAAUAACUGGUUGAGGAAUUGAUAUGUGACAUAACUCUGACCCUUAGAGGUGAAGUAAGUGGGCUGGGGUAUGUCUCUGGGAGGGUUAUCGUUGCUCUCGAAACAAGGAAAGGAAUGUUCUCUUCCAAUUUUCAGAUUUUUUUUUUUAGGUGAAUAUGUGUUUCCUUGUGCUGUGGCAGCCAUUUUGUGGCUAUGAGAGGCAAACCUGAAGUUCAAAGUCAAUACACUGAGGUGGGCAGAACAAGAUCAAAAGAACCUAGGACUAGAACAAUGGAGUUAACUAACCCUGGAACUGCCCUAUCAAGGAGGACAUUUAUGCCAUUUUUAGAUGGGUUCUCUGUUUCCUGAAGCUCUAAGCUCCUAUUUUACAAAAUAAGGAAACUGGAGCACAGAGAGGUUAAGCUAUCCGUCUACAGUCACACAGCUGGAGCUUCCCAGUGCUGUCAGGAUCAAGUCCAAGCUUGGGUGUUUCAGCACGGCUAAAAUCCCCCGCCGGACCUGGCCCCCUGGAGGCUCACCAGGAGCAACGGUCCCUCUUCUGUGGGCGUGGUUUCGAGGCUCAGAUGAAGUAACGCCUGUCACGCUGUUCCUUGGUCCUUGACAUGGAGGAGGGGAUCAACACGUGGGAGCUCUGUCGCUAAGACCUGGGAUCUGCUGGGAAUCAGGGAGGCCAACUAACUCAGCUACCCAGUGGUUCUCAACCGGGGAUGGGGGAGGAUUUUGCCCCCAGGCGCACUGGCAAUAUCUGGAGACGUUUUUGGUUGUCACAAUGUGGGGAGAGUGCUACUGGCAUCUAGUGGGUGGAGGUCAGGGAUGCUGCUAAAUACCCUGCAAUGCACAGGUCAGCCUCCUCCAUCCCCACCCCACCCCCACCCUCCCAUGACAGAGAAUUAUCUGGACCAAAACGUCACUAGGGCUGAGGUCAAGAAACACUGGAUGAGGCCACCCGGAAGAAGCUUCCCUCUUCUAUGCUCCAGAUCAAAUCCAUCGCCACUUCAGUUUCUCUGCAUGCCACUGUCUCUUGCUUGAGUGUACUAAAGUGGCCUAGUCUUUUCUCCAGGAGCACGCUUCCUACAGAUCUUCAACGGCUGGUUCCUCGUUCAAACGUCCCUCCCCAGGAAGCCUUCUCUGACCACCCACUGCAAGGCUGCUCCCGCCCUCCCUGGUUCUCCUCCUGUAGGCAGCCUAUUCGUUUCCUUCUAAUAUCUAUCACCAUCAGAUGGGACAUUUAUUUUCUUAGUUGAUCAGUUGAUUGUCUCCUGCACUCGAAUGUGAGCACCAUGAAGAGGAAGAGUCAGGUCUGUCUUGAUCAGGGGUUUGUAAACUACCACCUGUGGGCCAGAUUUGGCCCUUUGCCUCUUUUUGUAAAUAAAGCUUUAUUGGAACAAGCUAUGCCCGUUCUCUCAUGUAUUGUUGCUUGUGGUUGCUUUUGCUCUCCAACAGCAAACUUGAGUAGUUGUGAUAGACACUGAGCAGCCCGCAAAGCCAAGAUAGUCACCCUUUUCAGAAAAUGUGUGCCAACCCUGGUUGUGGUUAUUUGUCUAGUGCAGUGCCUGGCACAUAGUGGGCACUCAGCAAAUACUGAUCGAGUGUUUACUCAGUACCCUUAAUCCCACCUAAUCCUGCUUAGCACUCCAUGAGGUAGAUUCUAAUAAGGGUCCACAAACCUGAAACUUCCGAAGCCAUACUUUUAAAAACCAAAUUUGGCAGCAAAACCUGAUCUGAUCUGACCUGUUUGGCUGCAGAAUAUGCCUUGAACAAAUGCGAGGCUGUCGAUUGCCUAUAUUUCUCUCACUAAUUUGACCUUUGUGUGUUUCUCUGCAGACGUGUCGAUGAGGCAGAUUGAGGUGCUGCCCCAGGCCUCGCAGGCAAUGCUGUGUCCCAUACGGUAUAAGCAUCGCAUCACAUUUCUAAAAUCUCAAAAUUCUGAAUUCCAAAGCAUAUUCCACUAUAAGGGUUUGGACAAGAGAUUUGGAUGUGUAGUUUUCUUUAUUUUAAAGCUGAGGAAUGGAGAGACCAAACCAAAUAACAAUGCUUGUGAAUGGCAGGACCCAGAUUUGAAUCUCGGAUCUGAUCCCUGAGUUGUGGCUGUACCCGCUAGGCUCUCUCAGGAGAGGCGGGCUGGUGCUUGUUCACUGGAUGAAUUAAGGGGUUGACGAAGCUGGCUGGGCCUUGUUCUCACCCCUGGGCUGGUUUGCCCGCUACUCGGGAGGUUCCUGCCUUUCCUCUGUCAGAACAUCUUUCCAGGCCAAGUAUUGCAGCUGUAAAUGUGCAUGCAAAACACACAUGCACGCACACACACACUCACACACAUGUGCACACACACGUACAACUCAAAAAAGGAGCUACAUACUAUUAUAGUUUCUGCAGAUUUGUGGUCACUGUUGUUCUGAGCAAUCUCAUCUUUAUGAAUCAGGUGACAAAACCCACUAGUAACCAGGCAGGGGAAAGAAAACAGAUGCUUUUCCAGUCAGGCAGGAUGGAGCUGAGCAGUUGUCACUGUGGUUAAACCUCUGCCUCCAGGAAGACACAGCCCCUUGUAAAAAAUUAUUGCUGUUCUCUCUCUGGUUUUGGGAGCUGCC
rnacentral:lncRNA from 1 species